UGCCUGAGCCCUCCCCCUUCCCUCCACCCCAGCCAAUCGUUCGGAACCGGGAGCGCGACAAGCGCCUAGACCCGGGCUUUCUCUCGGCCGCGGGACCAGUUGCUUGUCGGUAACGCAGAAGAGGCAAAAUGAAGAAAGCGAAGACGAAGAGCAGCUCAAUGGGAACGAUUCGGGGGGUCUUCCCGGCUCCCAGCACCCCCAAGAAAAUGGCUGCCGGCAAUUCUCGCGAGAAUUAAGAAAGUCUCGCGAUGUCCCGGAGCCUGCUGGGAAGACACGUAGGAUUCGCGGAGAGCGAACGGAGGGAAAGAUCGAUGAUUUCAGAAACAGCAGGAGCCCCAGCUCAUCUUCUGAAACGGCUGUGGCGCGUCCGCUGGAACUAGCUCGGGGCCUGGAGCGCUCCGCGAGAGCCUCCCCGCCGGUGUGUGCGGGGGUUCCCCUGUGCUGCGCGGGUGUCUCCUCGGGGCACCUGUGCGGUGCACUACCGCAUUCUCCGUGUGCUGUGCUGUGGUUUGGGAAGCACAGGCUGGUCUGAUCUCACCCACUGAGACCUCCAGAGGAUUAGUAUCUUGUCCAAAAUCACUCGACUCGUUGGCAGAGCACUGAUAACCUAGGGAUGCUUCAAAGGAAAGGUGAGACAACCCUGACAGUUCGCAAAUAGUUUCCCGCCAUCCGAAACGUCGGGGCUUAUCCCUAGCUGACGGUAAGAAAAGUGUGUGCGUCUUUAAUUCUUUUCAUGGAGAGCGAUUCAGUCCCAGAUAGGGAAAUUACAUAGCUUCAGAAGACAGAGCCUUCAUGUCAGCAUCCCGAAUAAACGUCCCUUCUCCUGA